GUUGAACGCUGGCGGCGUGCCUAAUACAUGCAAGUCGAGCGAACAGACGAGGAGCUUGCUCCUCUGACGUUAGCGGCGGACGGGUGAGUAACACGUGGAUAACCUACCUAUAAGACUGGGAUAACUUCGGGAAACCGGAGCUAAUACCGGAUAAUAUAUUGAACCGCAUGGUUCAAUAGUGAAAGACGGUUUUGCUGUCACUUAUAGAUGGAUCCGCGCCGCAUUAGCUAGUUGGUAAGGUAACGGCUUACCAAGGCGACGAUGCGUAGCCGACCUGAGAGGAUGAUCGGCCACACUGGAACUGAGACACGGUCCAGACUCCUACGGGAGGCAGCAGUAGGGAAUCUUCCGCAAUGGGCGAAAGCCUGACGGAGCAACGCCGCGUGAGUGAUGAAGGUCUUCGGAUCGUAAAACUCUGUUAUUAGGGAAGAACAGAUGUGUAAGUAACUAUGCACGUCUUGACGGUACCUAAUCAGAAAGCCACGGCUAACUACGUG
rnacentral:rRNA from 1 species